rnacentral:rRNA from 1 species
UACAGAGGGGGCAAGCGUUGUUCGGAAUUACUGGGCGUAAAGGGCGCGUAGGAGGCUUGGUAAGUCAGGUGUGAAAUCCCGCAGCUCAACUGCGGAACUGCAUUCGAUACUGCCGAGCUAGAGGAUCGGAGGGGGAAGCGGAAUUCUUGGUGUAGCGGUGAAAUGCGUAGAUAUCAAGAGGAACACCGGUGGCGAAGGCGGCUUCCUGGAAGAUACCUGACUCUGAAACACGAAAGCUAGGGGAGCGAAUGGG